rnacentral:rRNA from 1 species
GGCGGUGCGCCUUAUGCAUGCAAGUCGAGCGAAGCUUUUCAGUAGUUUACUACAGAAAAUGACUGAGCGGCGAACGGGUGAGUAACGCGUGAGCAAUCUACCUUAGUUACAGGGAUAGCCCGAGGAAACUCGGAUUAAUACCUGAUAUUCUUUAUAUUUCGCAUGAAAUUAAAAGGAAAGGUCAGCCGAACUAAGAUGAGCUCGCGUUCUAUCAGCUAGUUGGUGAGGUAAAAGCUCACCAAGGCUACGACGGAUAGCUGGUCUGAGAGGACGAUCAGCCACACUGGGACUGAGACACGGCCCAGACUCCUACGGGAGGCUGUAGCAGGGAAUAUUGCGCAAUGAGCGAAAGCUUGACGCAGCGACACCGCGUGUGGGAUGACGGAUCUAGGUUUGUAAACCACUUUCAGGAGGGAAGAAAAUGACGGUACCUCCACAAGAAGCCCCGGCCAACUACGUGCCAGCAGCCGCGGUAAUACGUAGGGGGCGAGCGUUGUCCGGAUUUAUUGGGCGUAAAGAGCUCG